GCUCAGGACGAACGCUGGCGGCGUGCUUAACACAUGCAAGUCGAGCGAGAUCCAUCCGGUGGCAACACCGGUGAAGAUCUAGCGGCGAACGGGUGAGUAACACGUGAGCAACCUGCCCCGAAGACUGGGAUAACACCGGGAAACCGGUGCUAAUACCGGAUAUCCUCCUCUGAUCGCAUGGUCUAGGGAGGAAAGGAAUUUUGCUUCGGGAGGGGCUCGCGGGCUAUCAGCUUGUUGGUGGGGUAACGGCCUACCAAGGCGACGACGGCUAGCUGGUCUGAGAGGACGACCAGCCACACUGGGACUGAGACACGGCCCAGACUCCUACGGGAGGCAGCAGUGGGGAAUCUUGCGCAAUGGGCGAAAGCCUGACGCGGCAACGCCGCGUGGGGGAUGAAUGCCUUCGGGUUGUAAACCCCUUUCAGCAGGGGCGAAUCUGACGGUACCUGCAGAAGAAGCCCCGGCCAACUACGUGCCAGCAGCCGCGGUAAUACGUAGGGGGCGAGCGUUGUCCGGAUUUAUUGGGCGUAAAGAGCUCGUAGGCGGCUUGGCAAGUCGGGUGUGAAACCUCCAGGCUCAACCUGGAGACGCCACUCGAUACUGCCAUGGCUAGAGUCCGGUAGGGGACCACGGAAUUCCUGGUGUAGCGGUGAAAUGCGCAGAUAUCGGGAGGAACACCAACGGCGAAGGCAGCUUGCUGGGACGGUACUGACGCUGAGAUGCGAAAGCGUGGGGAGCAAACAGGAUUAGAUACCCUGGUAGUCCACGCCGUAAACGAUGGGCACUAGGUGUGGGGGGGUGUCGACUCCCUCCGUGCCGAAGCUAACGCAUUAAGUGCCCCGCCUGGGGAGUACNGGCCGCAAGGCUAAAACUCAAAGGAAUUGACGG
rnacentral:rRNA from 1 species